rnacentral:tRNA from 1 species
GAUAGAGUGUCCGAUAAUAGGUUGUAAACUGUAAAUUUAUAUAUGAAUUUUUUUAUUCCUUUAUCA